rnacentral:rRNA from 1 species
CUUUACUGCAGCCUGGAAUUGUGUUCGGGCUUCGCUUGCGCAGGAUAGGUGGGAGGCACAGAAGUUCCCCUUGUGGGGGGAAUCGAGCCAACGGUGAGAUACCACUCUAGCGAGGCUAGAAUUCUAACCCUUGCCCGUCAGCCGGGAAGGAGGCAGUUUCAGGGGGGCAGUUUGACUGGGGCGGUCGCCUCCUAAAAUGUAACGGAGGCGCGCAAAGGUUCCCUCAGAAUGGUUGGAAAUCAUUCGUAGAGUGUAAAGGCAUAAGGGAGCUUGACUGCAAGACCUACAAGUCGAGCAGGGUGGAAACACGGUCUUAGUGAUCCGACGGUGCCGCAUGGAAGGGCCGUCGCUCAACGGAUAAAAGUUA